rnacentral:rRNA from 1 species
UACAGGAGGUCUCAAGCGUUUGUUCGGGAUUCAUUGGGCGUAAAGGGUGCGUAGGCGGCGUGGUAAAGUCGGAUGUGAAAUCUCGGAGCUUAACUCCGAAACUGCAUUCGAUACUGCCGUGCUUGAGGACUGGAGAGGAGACUGGAAUUUACGGUGUAGCGGUGAAAUGCGUAGAUAUCGUAAGGAAGACCAGUGGCGAAGGCGGGUCUCUGGACAGUU